AGAGAGAGACAUGCGCGCAUAUCAAUAAGCGGAGGAAAAGAAACUAACAAGGAUUCCCUUAGUAACGGCGAGUGAAGCGGGAAGAGCUCAAAUUUGAAAUCUUCAAGGUUUUACCUUGACGAAUUGUAGUUUAAAGAAGUGUUUUCUGCUGAAGUUUUGGUAAAAGUUCUUUGGAAUAGGACAUCAUAGAGGGUGAGAAUCCCGUAUUUGACCAUUAUUUUCAGCUUUGUGAUACACUUUCAAAGAGUCGGAUUGUUUGGGAAUGCAGUCCAAAAUGGGUGGUAAAUUUCAUCUAAAGCUAAAUAUUGGCGAGAGACCGAUAGCGAACAAGUACCGUGAGGGAAAGAUGAAAAGAACUUUGAAAAGAGAGUUAAACAGUACGUGAAAUUGUCAAAAGGGAAGCGUUUGACACCAGUGUUGUUUUCUCGAAAAUCAAUUAAAAAUGGCUCGAUUUUGUAUUGCUGAGACCUUAAAAGCUCACUGUACAUUUUUCGUGUCUUUUUUAAUGCACUUUUCGUUUAACAAGUCAACAUCAGUUUCUUUCGUUGUAAAAGGGUCAUUGGAAGGUGGCUUUCUUUUCGGAGAAGUGUUUAUAGCCUUUGGCCUCUGCAAUCGAAGAGACUGAGGUCUGCAGCGUAGACUCUUCGGGGUUAGAUACAUUUGUGCUAAGUUAUAGCUUUUUAUAGACAACUUGUUGACUAUAAUUAGUCUUGUAGCUUACUCGCUUAUGCUAUUUUACCUACGCUUAGGAUGUUGAAGAUGUAGCACAUCAU
rnacentral:rRNA from 1 species